rnacentral:rRNA from 1 species
UACGUAGGGGGCAAGCGUUGUCCGGAAUCAUUGGGCGUAAAGCGCGUGUAGGCGGUCCGGUAAGUCCGCUGUGAAAGUCGGGGGCUCAACCCUCGGAUGCCGGUGGAUACUGUCGGGCUUGAGUACGGAAGAGGCGAGUGGAAUUCCUGGUGUAGCGGUGAAAUGCGCAGAUAUCAGGAGGGACACCAAUUGCGAAGGCAGCUCGCUGGGACGUUACUGACGCUGAGACGCGAAAGCGUGGGGAGCAAACAGG